GAUGAACGCUGGCGGCGUGCCUAAUACAUGCAAGUCGAGCGAAUGGAUUAAGAGCUUGCUCUUAUGAAGUUAGCGGCGGACGGGUGAGUAACACGUGGGUAACCUGCCCAUAAGACUGGGAUAACUCCGGGAAACCGGGGCUAAUACCGGAUAACAUUUUGAACCGCAUGGUUCGAAAUUGAAAGGCGGCUUCGGCUGUCACUUAUGGAUGGACCCGCGUCGCUUUAGCUAGUUGGUGAGGUAACGGCUCACCAAGGCAACGAUGCGUAGCCGACCUGAGAGGGUGAUCGGCCCCACUGGGACUGAGACACGGCCCAGACUCCGACGGGAGGCAGCAGUAGGGAAUCUUCCGCAAUGGACGAAAGUCUGACGGAGCAACGCCGCGUGAGUGAUGAAGGCUUUCGGGUCGUAAAACUCUGUUGUUAGGGAAGAACAAGUGCUAGUUGAAUAAGCUGACACCUUGACGGUACCUAACCAGAAAGCCACGGCUAACUACGUGCCAGCCGCCGCGGUAA
rnacentral:rRNA from 1 species